CACUCAUUCAAUUCAUAAAUAUCGUUCUGACUGUGCACUAAUUGAAUAGUGUAGAUAAACCUUUUCACAGAAAUGUUUCUUAGUUUUUCGGGGGGAAAAAAGUCCUCUAUCUUUUUGAACUCCAUAUUCACCAAUCACCAUGCUUUCAAGGUUCUGACACUAGAGAUCAAAUGAGUCACCGUAACACUUUUUCCAUUUGGUGUAUUACUUGGAAAUGCAAUCCGUUAUUAGUACUGUGAUUAGUGUGACUAAAGAUGAUAUUAUUUGAUUACGACUGGUCUCCUUAAUAUGCUACAUGGACCACUCCUAUUUGUAGAAUGCUACAUUUUCGAAAUAAAGGAGUCAAGAGAGCAGUAGGCGAAAUACUCAAAAAUCAGUGUGAAGAGAUCUCAAUUAGAAUUCAUUAAUUCAUUAAUUUUGAAAAAAAAAUAGAGCUUACUAAUAGAAUAGAGAGCAUCCGUACUCAAAUUCCAGAUAGUGCCUUAUACAUAAUACUUUAUAAUGCAUAAUGCAUUACAAUCUGAUGCAGUGUGCAAUCUGUAUCAUCCAAAUAAGUUAACGUAGGCCAACCUACAUAGUCAAAACUUAUUUUAUUAACGGACAUUAAAUGUAAAAUGCCUUUAAGGGCGGCCUUGUGAAGCCGUUAUUUACCAGCUGUUACCAUCUCCCCAUCUAGCAAAGGCCAAGUGCUGUUGUUGUUGCCACUACCUGAAUGAAUAUGUGUGACUUUCUUUAAACACAGAACCAGACAUGUAGACGCGGAUGCCUUUUUCGAGAAACACAAGUCACUGGAGGUUCAAAUCUUGAGUCGUACGUCAGUGAAACAUAUUGCUCAAUCGCUUCCCAAACCACAAGGGAGUUGGGAGGAAAUGCUGACCACAAUGCCGUCGGUUCAGGGGUGGACGUGGUUGUGAUCUUUAAGAUGCAUACAGGAGAGUAGUGGAGUAAAGUUCCAUUCCGACGAGAUGUUUCCAUGCGUGGGGUCUUUAGAGGAAGGAAGCGCCAGUCGUGGCGAGUCAUGUGGGAUGGACAAAUGUUUCUGCCAGCCCUUGAGGUUCCAUUUUAGACUCUUUUGUGGCAAAUGGAAGGUAGAUUGUAGAUAGAUAUUUUUAACACGAGUCACAAUGAUAAUAGUCUUUAAGAAGACCUUGAUGAUGGACCCCAGAGACCAGUUAUUGUUAAACUCCAUAUUCCUCUUUACUAUAAUUUUACUGUAAUCUUUAUAUUAAUUUCCCUCUAACAUAAAACAUUUAGGAUUGCGCAGUGUCCCCUAUCAAGACAUGCAUGUUGACUUCAGUGACUACUGCAUAAGGAGUCAGCAUGUGGCCCAUGAUUGGGAAAGAUGUGGUAACUGGGAGGCAGUUCAUGCUUUUGUGUUGAGUACUUUGAACUACAGGGGAAAAGUACGUGCUUGGAGUAGAUAAGGGCAGAGAAUUUUUCCACUGCCUUGUAACACACCAGUGAGAUGUGCUCUGGCUUAGUCAACACAGGCAGGACAGAGCAGGACACCCAGGACGCCAUUACCUACCUCCAGCACUCUCGUUGUCCACAGUGAUCUGAGCCCACCUGGGUUGCUACCGCAGACCACCUGUGUUCUGAGGGUGACGUCGGACCACCAGGUUGUAUGACUUGGGGGUGGGAGAACUGUUUGAUCUGACGGUUCUGGUUCCUAGCAGAGCCUUGUCCCUCUGAUAGCAGAUACUCAGGUAGCCGUCACCUGAAACCAGCUGUAACCCAGGGAGAGAAGAACUAAGGCGGGAGAUGAAGGAUCAGUUGGAUGACCCUGUUCACAGCAGCAGUUGUUUUGGCUCUCUUGCGGUUCCACACACCUGGGACAUAGCUGCGGGGGGAACAGGGAGCGCUGCCAACACUCCAGCAGAUUCCAGAGCCCAACGCCUGGGCACAGCCACACAUUCCGAUACGCAUUCCAACUUUUAAAGGCCCAGGACGCUUUUUUUGUUACUACAAAUCCCCCCACUCACACAACCGCAGGCUUCAUUCAUGAGGUGGGGGGGUUGGCUGGAGCUGUCAAGCCUGGAGAUCAAGUGUUGCCCUCUUAAGUUCAGUUUGAGUGAAGCGGUUCCAGUGGUGUUUGACACACUGUGACACAUCACCCGUCAACAUAACUCACUUCAAUUGAACACAGCGUUUGGAGGGUCAAAGGUUCAAUUCUACAUGUCCUGCAAUGGGCCUUCAGCACAGAUUCCGAGCUUGCGUUAGAAUGGAGACCUUGGAGGGGUUUUUAACAGAUGAGAGGCUUACUGCGUCAGAGAGGCCCUCUAAAGAGGACAAGGAGGAAGUACACAUCUAAGGAGUGAGGAAGAAAGAACGAGUGAAAAGAGGAAUUGAGGGAAGCAAGGAGGGUGUCGUGCCAAAAAUAGUCCCCCCCUACACACACAUACACCCACGCACCCUGCCAAAAGCCCCUGCCACGCCCCCCUUCAUUGCCAUCUUAGUCAGCGGACCCUCAGCCGACCAUAGUUGUCAAGAAAACAGGCACCACAUCAGCGUUGGCUCCUUGUGUCCAGUGCCUGUGUCUCCCAUCAUGACCACCAGAAGCUGACAGAAAAGCUCAGCUCCAAUGAGCGCACAUAGUGCCAGUGCUUGACUGGGAUGAACAGGACCUCACCAGGCUGAAGAACACACUCCUGAUAGGACGCCUUCAGGAAGUCUGGAAAACUGACCGUUUCGGGGUUCUCCACGUCUACCUGCACCACACAUAGUCAUGGCUCACUAGAUGUCAUGCAUCGUUGAUGCUUUGAUGUUCAUUGUUGCUCAUUUGUGUUUGAUUUUAUUUGACACCUUACCAGCAUAUAGAACUCAGUGAAAAGUAAUACUAAAAUAAUGCAUCCAACAGUAUACAGGAAGGGGUCACGGGUGCACUUGGAAACAACCUGCCUUACCUGACUGGUGUUAUGGAGGAGCUGGGACUGAUGGGGAUAGAGUCUCUCCGUCUCCUCUGGAGAGUACAGACGAAUGUACUUCCUGCCCACCACCUGGAAAAGAGGACAAGAAAAUUAAGAUAACGAUCAACACCUACACACACAACACACACACACACCGAGUAAGAACUCUUCUAAACUACACACCUGAGCCAGAAAGUUCUGCUGGGGGUCCUGAUGAAGUGGGGAGAUGGUGCCUCUGGGUCCAAACCAAGCAUUGAUGGUGAUGUUUUCUUCCUCUCCCUCACCAAGACAACAGUAGUCAGGGAUUCGAAUGUCUUCUUUCAGCUCAGGGAUCUGAAGUCCAACACAGUUAAUUUAUGACAAUCAGAUGACUUCUUUGCAAAGUGAUGACAUAGGCCUGAUACUUUUAUAUAAUACAUUUGCGAACAUUUCUAAAAUUCUGUUUUCACUUUGUCAUUAUGGGGUAUUGGGUGCAGAUUGAUGAGGGAAAAAUGUAUUUAAACGACUAAAGCAUAAAGUUUGCAACAUGAAAAAAAGUGGAGGGGUCUGUAUACUUUCUGAAUACAAUGCAUAUCUCAAAUACUUGACUGUUUAAUAUUAAAUGUAAUUCGUGCAAUGGUA